rnacentral:misc_RNA from 1 species
CCCCCUCUGACUGCAAACAUGGUUAUUUAUAGAUGCAUAGAAAUUCAUACAAAAUAGAUGAUGCCCUCAGCGAGGCCAUGGGCAGGUCUGCUCAAUUGAAGAAAUUCCACAUUCAAUCAGCUAUCUUGAACAGGUGAUUCAAAAUUUCAGAAGCACUGGCAACUAGAGAAUUGGGACACUCGCUCAAAAAUUUCAGAAGCUCCUAUACGAAAAAAAAAAAAAACACCCACCAUGGAUGUUGAGAUUGCGUGGUGGGAUUCACCUUGUUCUGCUUCAAAAAACCACUCCACAAGGAGAUUUGAGUCCAAAGCAGUGCCUGGAUUAAGUCCACUGUCACAUCUCUUGCUAAAACCCCAACUCCUCUCUCCUCAUCCCUUAUGAUUUAAGAGGAGCAGAAGAAAAGAACAGAAAGAGCUAUCACAAUAAACCCACAAGUUUUCUAGAUGUUUAGUUUGAUUCGUCAUCAUGGGCACAUUAAUAAGAUACUGCAAUUUUUGGCACAGUUCUCAAGAGGACAUCACUGAGCACAAGAGAUCAUCUCCUAAGUUCAUUCACACAUACAAACACUAGAAAAUGAUAAAUAAUAAGAAAUGCCUCUUGUUUGUGCUAACAUAGAAUCUUCUCAGCACUGUACAAUUCAACAACAGGACAACAAGAACAUACUGGAGCUAAUGUGCAAGAAAAGUACCUCUCCAUCACACAUCAAUGAUUAUCCAGUCAUCUCUUCCUUCGCUUUGUCUCCACCUUGGCUUCAACAGAAGGUGAUACUGGGAAUGCAUUUAAAGUUCUUUUGGCAUCAUGAUCAGAGCAACAGUCAAAACAUAGAAAGUGAUCCAAUUUUUUGGCUUCUUC